rnacentral:lncRNA from 1 species
AUGUCACUGUGUCACCUCCAUGCUGGGUGCAGGGAUGUCACUGUGCCAUUGUCACUGUGUUGGGCAUUGGGGCAUCGUGGUGGCACUGUCACUGUGCCACAUAUGGGGACAUUGUCGUGGCACUGCCACCAUACUGGGUGCAGGGAUGUCACUGUGUCACCACCGUGCUGGACAUGGGGACAUCACGGUGGCACUGUCACUGUGCCACGUGUGGGGACAUCGUGGUGGCACUGCCAGCAUAGCAGGUGCAGGGAUGUCACUGUGUCACCUCCAUGUUGGGCAUGGGGACAUCACGGUGGCACUGUCACUGUGCCACGUGUGGGGACAUCGUGGUGGCACUGCCAGCAUAGCAGGUGCAGGGAUGUCACUGUGUCACCUCCAUGUUGGGCAUGGGGACAUCACGGUGGCACUGUCACUGUGCCACGUGUGGGGACAUCGUGGUGGCACUGCCAGCAUAGCAGGUGCAGGGAUGUCACUGUGUCACCUCCAUGUUGGGCAUGGGGACAUCACGGUGGCACUGUCACUGUGCCACGUGUGGGGACAUCGUGGUGGCACUGCCAGCAUAGCAGGUGCAGGGAUGUCACUGUGUCACCUCCAUGUUGGGCAUGGGGACAUCACGGUGGCACUGUCACUGUGCCACGUGUGGGGACAUCACAGUGGCACUGUCACCAUACUGGGUGCAGGGAUGUCACUGUGCCAUUGUCACUGUGUUGGGCGUGGGGACAUCAUGGUGGCACCAUCACUGUGCUGAGUGUCAGGGCAUCACUGUGUCACCAUCACCAUGUUGGGUAUGGGGGCAUCGUGGUGGCACUGCCACCACACUGGGUGCAGAGAUGUCACUGUGCCAUUGUCACCGUGCCACCUCUGGGGACAUCAUGGUGGCACUGCCACCGUACUGGGUGCAGGGAUGUCAGUGUCACCUCCAGGCUGGCUGUGGGGGCAUCACGGUGGCACCGUCCCCAUGGUUAUGGGGUUGUUGCCCCCCUGUCCCUGCCACCACCACCG